rnacentral:rRNA from 1 species
AGUGAACGCUGGCGGUAGGCCUAACACAUGCAAGUCGAACGGCAGCACAGUAAGAGCUUGCUCUUACGGGUGGCGAGUGGCGGACGGGUGAGGAAUACAUCGGAAUCUACUUUUUCGUGGGGGAUAACGUAGGGAAACUUACGCUAAUACCGCAUACGACCUACGGGUGAAAGCAGGGGAUCUUCGGACCUUGCGCGAUUGAAUGAGCCGCUGUCGGAUUAGCUAGUUGGCGGGGUACAGGCCCACCCAGGCGACGCUCCGUAGCUGGUCUGCGAGGAGGAUCAGCCACACUGGAACUGAGACACGGUCCAGACUCCUACGGGAGGCAGCAGUGGGGAAUAUUGGACAAUGGGCGCAAGCCUGAUCCAGCCAUACCGCGUGGGUGAAGAAGGCCUUCGGGUUGUAAAGCCCUUUUGUUGGGAAAGAAAAGCAGCAGGUUAAUACCCCGCUGUUCUGACGGUACCCAAAGAAUAAGCACCGGCUAACUUCGUG